rnacentral:rRNA from 1 species
AUUGAACGCUGGCGGCAGGCCUAACACAUGCAAGUCGAACGAGUGGGGGACGGGUGCGUAAUGUCUGGGAAACUGCCUGAUGGCGGGGGAUAACUACGGGAAACGGUAGCGAAUCCCGCAUACCAUCAGAUGUGCCCAGAUGGGGUUAGCUUGUUGGUGGGGUAACGGCUCACCAAGGCGACGACCCCUAGCAGGGCUGAGAGGCUGACCAGCGACAAUGGAACUGUUGCGAGGGCCACACGCCCAAGGGAGGCAGCAGUGGGGAAUAUUGCACAAUGGGCACAAGCGUGAGGAAGCCGUGGCGCGUGUGUGAAGAAGGCGUUCGGGUCGUAAAGUACUUUCAGCGGGGAGGCGGUACCCGCAGAAGAAGCGCCGGCUAACUCCGUGCCAGCAGCCGCGGUAAUUC